AAACCCUAGUUAGAAAUAUAAAUAAAUAAGUAUAUCCUCCAUUUCCGUCUCCAAAACUGUCCUGUCAAAUGCGUAAUGACGUCAUACGUCACGCUGUGCGUCCUGUCACGUGACGGUGCGCGGCCAAUCGGGUUGUUUUAUAUCCGGAAGUCACUCGCGAGCCGCGAGCUUCGAGAGGGGGAUACGUUGGGAACAUUUGCUGCAAGGAGCCAACUACCGGAGCCGCCAGGCGUCGUGUGGAGUCGCGGGUGUUGAUUAAAGAAGGAAUUGGCCAGGUGAUGGCGAGCUAGACCCAAAGAAUUCUAGGCCCACACCCUGCCUGAAGAACCCUGGAGCUCGAACUGAAGUGAACUGAACUGGACCUCCUGCACCUCCUCCACCUGGUUGGGCUGGUAGGAGGCUCCUUUAAGGCAGCCGCCCCUCUCUUUUACUUUUUGCCUCUCGCAACAACUCAUUCUUGGCCCAAACCCAUUCACCACUCGUUUAACACUCCCUUUCCCUGGACACCGCCCUUUCCCUCUGGACGAUUUGGGCCACUGAACUGUUGCGUGUGUUCUAUCUCGGCUGAACUUCAGAACUCUUUCGCGCGUCUAAUGGGUCGUUUCUCGCGUGAUAAUGGAUCCAUCGAAUAAUGUUUUCUUGUGAAAUAAUUGUGACUUAAUUCUGCACUUCUCAUGAAUGGCCAUUCACUUUAAAUGUUAAAUGUUGUUUGCCGAUGUCAAAAUAUAAUUGGUACCACCUAAAACUUACAUCAUUGUGUUCAGUCUCCUUUCCUCCACUCCUAGAGCCGAACUUAGAUCUGUCUGAUCUCUAGCCCAAUUCAACCAAUACUCUAACUGCAAACUAGUACUAAUACAGCGCUAAUAGUAGCGGCAUAUAGGCUACAAAAGGUUAUUCUUAAAAUUAAAUAAAAUUACAUUCAAAAUAGUGUUAGACAACCCCAAAUAUCUACCCAGCUUUAGCAGCAUUUUUUUCAGUUCUUGUAUUUUUUUAUUCAUUGACAGAUAUUUUGGAUGUCUUUAAAAUUAAAAAAGACAAGUUUUGCUUCCAUAUACCAAUUACGCAAAAUCAACCAUCAUGUGAUAAAAUAACCACUUCACAACCACUUUACGGCAUUUAUAAAAUUUAUUUAUAUAGAUAUAUUCAUCUAUACUGUUAAGUAUGUAUGAUAGUAUGUAUAUAUUUAUAUAGAAAUCUAUGCAUACUGCAAUCCUUUCACAGAGGAGAACAGAACCACAUGUCAGCAAUGUUAACACAAUGACAGAAGCUCUGGAUAUUAAAGGCCAGACAUUCUGGACUCAUCGACACAGAACAAAAAGAUGGCAUUGCGAAAAAUAUCUGAACACCAGCAACUCAGCUGUCACCUCGACUCAGCUUAUUUCUUUAAAUUACAAUCACUUCAGUGAUAUUACAAUCAUAUUUUAUGUGGAAUAGUCCUAUCUAUUGUCUUUAACUACACUCAGCUUAAGUCUGUACAGUUUUGUAAAAUAGAAAUGAAAUUCGUUUCAAGCAGGUUGGAGUUGCUGGUGACUCCAAGACAAUGUUCUCCGUGCGGCCCCGUGUUCUGGGACAAAUAUGACAGCAGACGCUGGGAUCCCAGGAAUAUCUGAAGAGAAGGGAAACUGCAAUGUCCAACAUGAUAAAACAAGUCCAGGAUUUUACUGGUUCACUCUCCAUUUCUGCUGAUCCAUGUGUUGAAUUCUGACACAAAUACAUUUGAUUUGUCACAAUGCCCAAAUAAUUUAGAAAAAAAUGACCCGCAACUGACAAGAACACAGCAUAGCAUGUACACAACUGCAUGAAAAGCCUGAAAUAAGACUUCUUCCCAAUUCAUUCAAAUUAAAACAUUCUAAUUUCUCUGGUGGCCAAAGUCGAAACAUGACUCUUAAUUGUCCUCAUUUCUCUCACUGUCCCUCUGCUUCAUUUUGUUUUUAAAAAGGACUUUACCUCAUCAUUCAGUGUCCAUGUUUUUUUCUUUUAGGUUUACCCUCUACCACAUGAGCGCAGCACCAAAAAAUCUAAUUAAUGUGUGCCGCUGAAACAAGUUUGGACUCCUCGCUAUACAGCUCAAAUCACAAAGCAGUCACAUAUUGCACUAUGAAUGCAAAAAUACCAGUCUACACUAUACAGAAAAGUGCAUCUAACAUUUGUACAGUUGCUACACACAAACACGAGAAACAUAUACAUCAAUCAUUGUGUCUGUAUGUAUGCAAUACCAUCAGACAGGCUGUCACAUCCUAAAGUACAGUACAAGAACAUUUUAUGGUCUUCUUUCCCCAUUUAUAUGUCAAGUUCAGUUCCUAGACAGGAGGAGCAGAACCCAAAGCCUCAUGGGAGAAUCAUGGAGGUGCAGGUGUGGUUGAGUGGAAGGUGAGGCGGAGCUGGUGGUCCGGGUGGCCUCCAGGGUAUUUUUUCAGUUUAUGUCAGGGUGUGGAGGUCAAGUGCUGGAGGAAACUUCAGGAAUGGACCUUGAAGGCCAGCAGCUGCUCAGAGUGCAUGUUAUUGAGCGAGCGCAGGUCGGGCAGUUUGAGCAGCAGCUUGGUGAAGAUGGCCGACUCAUUUGGGUGGUUCUUGGUAAUGAGGCUUCGCAAUGCACGGAUCAGCGUCUCCUGCAGGGCCUCCACGGAGUUCACGUUCUCGAUGCCGGAACGAUCUGGGAGGGAGAGGGGUGGAUGGCAUUGGUUGGGGUUUGUUUAAUGAGCAAAAUAAAAUUUGAAACAAACAACCCAAAACACAAGAUGUAUUGCAGAAUUUAGGUUGCACUAACAUAUAAACUAUAAUACAUCCACUAACUGUGCUUCCUAACAUGAGGGUUUUGGCCCUCCAAAAGGCCCUCUGAUGUGUCAUCUGUUUCGCAGCAUUUAUUAAGAAUUUAAAAAAAUUACUUUUUCUGGCGCUAUGUGUGGCCAUAAAACCAACAAGCACCCUUUACUUAACCUAGUAAGAAUCUGUACACAUGUACAACGAGUAUCACACAGAACUUACAAAUAAAUAUUUGCAAAUUGGAAAAUCUUGCUUAUACCUUCAGGCAUAGUUCUUCUAGAAAAAUAAAAUUACACAAAACAGAAACACAAAAAGACCAGUGUAAUAAAACACAGAGGAAACUGUUAUAUAAGACCUAUGCUGGUGGAGCAUUAUGAGUCCUGGUUUGGUUUGAAUUAACCCGGAUAGACUGGAAUAAUGUGUGUACAGUUUUUUAAUUUUUAAUUGCUAUGAAAUCUGAUAACACAAUUUCAUAAAAUAUUUUCAAGUGUUUCUAAAUAUUAGGAUAUUUGUCAAGAUACACAAGUGACUCAAAAUGAUGGCUGAGAGCUUAAAGCAUUAACCAUGUAUGUGUGUGUGUGUGUGUGUGUGUGUGUGUGUGUGUGUGUGUGUGUGUGUGUGUGUGUGUGUGUGUGUAUAUAUAUGAAUGAUAGCGCCCCCAGAGUGAAGCCAAAAUGUCUUGGUCGCCCCCUAGUGGCUGGCUGCAAUAUAUACCUGCCCCCUCCAUACUGAUGGACCUUGAUUCCACAUUGAAAUCCCCUGACGUCACCAGUGGUGACACAUUUUCCAAUUCUCCAACUCUAUAUAGAGGGCACUGAUAAAACCGAAUGGAAAACAGCCUAACAACUUAACAACACACCUGCAGAGACCAGCACCACAGCAGUGAAAAGGCUCAUCUCCUCCUCACUGAGUCCCAGGUUGAUGAGCUUCUCGCUGAAGUCAAACAUGGAGUUGAGGAGAUCCCCGGCCCCCAUAGCCCUCAGAGUGUCCACGCUGUACUUCUUGCCUCCCAGAAAAGUGACAGUACGAUCCUUCACAUCGAACAGUGAAGCAAAGCGAACCACCAAGACCUGCGGACAUGAGAACGCCUCCGAGGUUAUAUUCUGAGCUUUCAGUACAACCUGACAAACAUCUGGUGUGUGUUGAAAAGAAUGAAUAGAUUGUACCUCAAAGGUGCCAGCCUUCAGCAGGCUGACCUGAUCGUGCUGAGACAAGUCUCUAAAGCCUGGGAUCUUCUUAGCAAAUUCCACCACCUCCCUGACAGCAGGGGUGAAGCUGUGGGAGAACUCCUCCCACACCUCAUGUCCAGACUUCUGAGGGUCCACAUGAGGGGAUGUGUUCAUUGGACAAACCUAGAUGAACAUUAGUCAGAGUUCAGAUUGGGUCUGGCCAACAUCAGUGCAUCACCUUUGAAUUUCUCUCCAACAUUUGUUAAUAUUCAUCAGAUUUUAAUUAUUUGCAUUUGUGUUUGAAAAGCCAUCUUUUUGCUUUUGUGAGGCAUACUGAACUAGUCUUGUGUUGCACCUAUGAUGUCUCUACCCUGCGUUCAUCUUACCAGAUGCAUUCUGUUGCCUCCCCUCCAGAGAGGGCCAAUGUAGGCUCCGUUGGCUGGGCCCUCUGUAGGCGGAGCUCUGAAAGCUCCAUGCGUGUAGGCCGGACAGUGGCUGGUGGCGGCGCUCCUGGACAGUCUGAAGGGGCAGUGGUUCAGGGUGUUCUCCUGCACCUGAGGACCCAGGCUGGAGGGGGGUUGGUGAUCUGUCAUGGUGACCAGGUUGUUGCGGUGGUUCCAGGCAUCCUGGCGCUCCUCUGGCUGGUGGCUGCUGGUGGUGGUGUUUUUGGCAGAACCAUUAUUUAGGGGGCCAGUGGGUGCUGAAGGCUCAGCCGCCAGACUGCUCUGCUCCUGGUUGUACAUGAAGGUCUCCUGGUGGGCCCUGGUCACCGAACCAAUCACCUCCUCCUCGCCGCUGUCUGACGCACUGGGUGAGGCUGAGCUUGGGCUGGUGUCCAUGGAGACAGCAGGCUCAGGAUCAGAACUGGAGUCUGACUGGUUGGAACACGGUGAGGAGGAAGGAGAGCAGGAGGGGGCGGGGCCAGCGUCCUCAGAGGUAGGCUCGGUGGCGCUGGCCGGCAGCGGUUUGGCGAUGGGCAGCGUCUGGCUGCUGUGGAGCUGGCUUUGCAGCUGGCUGUUGUUCAUCAUAUUGUUCAUGGCACUUUGCAUCUCCAGCAGCAUACGCUGCUUCUCCCGCUUGGGGAUUCGGCCAAAACGCACAGCUGAAAAGCAAGGAGAGAAUCAUUUUAGUAGGAUUCACCUUUAUUUUAUAAUAAUGAGGUGAGGAUGAACAUUUUACGAAUUCUUUUGCAGUAGUAUUUAUUACUUAUGUAUUUUAGAAUAUUCUUCUUUAAUAAUUUCUUUGGGUCUCCACACUUUUUGUGUUGGUGGAGGUGCAAUGCCGGCUGUAUUCUUAACAUUUUCAGUUUCUGAUUACACUUCAUAAUUACCUAUCAUCUGCUUUUCUGCAUUAAAACAGCUCGUAUUAGUAAAAACAUUACUUUAUCUAUAUAGAGUUUGCCCCAAUAUUAAGUAUCAAGUAAAUUCAUGCUGUACGAAAGAUUGAGUGGAGCUCAGCAAAGACUGCAGGUACUCACAGUCUCUGGACAUCCCCACCAUCAGGCAUUUCUUAAAGCGGCACUGCUGGCAGCGGUUCCUGUUGAUCCUCAUGAUGGGGCAGCUCUCGUUCUUAAGGCACUUCUUAUACUGGAUGUUCUGCUGGAUGCUCCUCCUGAAGAAGCCCUGUGUCCACACAGACAAGCAGCAUAGUGGUAAGACACGUGAUUGUUUUUUGUGUUUGUUUUGUAUCACAGCAAAUAGAUCAUGACACUACAGAACCCCAGAGGAGACUGAAUCAAUCACACUCAUUGACACCAAAGUACUUGGACUGUAUUGGAUUUUAAGUAGAAAAAAAUAGUUGCUUAACAAGUCAAUCAGCAGAUCAAUGAGGACUCUGAACAAAACGUGAUCUGAAGUCACCUUCAGCACCUUCAUGUUUUGUAGACCCAAUGGUUAAUAUUCAAUGACAGAUUUAAAUCUAACUUCUACUGACACGUUGACCAUAUGAGUCAUAUCAGCCUGAAACCUGUGUGCGUGCGUGCGUGCGUGCGUGCGUGCGUGCGUGCGUGCGUGCGUGCGUGCGUGCGCCCCCUCUAAGGAGUACUGUAGUGCGUCUGACUCCGUGUGCUGCUCCCCAUAGUUAACUAGGCCACACAGCAACAUGAAGUAUGAGGGGCAGCUGAUAUAAAUAUGGGGAGAGUGAACUAGUUUCCCUGAGUCUCUGGUUGGAGCUGUGCAGAUGGUUAUGCCUGUGGUGACCCACUUCAACUGCAGCUUAAAGUGACUGCAACACCCAUCGCUAUGUUGUCGAGAAUCAUUCUCCUCCAGUGUCCUGCAAGUGUGUGUGUCAUCCAGAGAGCCACCCUCACCUUGCAGCCCUCGCAGGCGUGGACUCCAUAGUGGAAACCGGAUGCCACAUCACCACACACUUUACACAGCAGCACCAGGCCGUUGAUUUCUGAAUGAUGGAAAAACACAGUCUUAAAGUUCAUCUGAAAGAGAAUCGCAUCAGUGAUUCUGCAUAUUAAUCACCUUAAUUAAAAAUUGCCUAAAAUUUCCUUUAAUACAGCCAUUCUAUAAAGUGCACCGGAUGCACAAAACAGCUUGGUGAGUGUACAUUUAAAAUUAAAUAAAGCUAAUGUGACUUUACUACACAGCAAGUAACAUUGAGAUGAGGUACAUCACAUGAAAAGAUUAACGUGAUACAGAUACACGGACCUGUGGUAGUCAUGUGUAGUUUGUACGAUCUAUUCUAAGGGUUUUUAAAGGGUGAAUCAAGCUACAUUUAGUUUCUCUGCUUCUCAACAGCCCUGGCUUCACUUUUGCUUUUGGGACACUAAGAAAUCAACUUCGAAAAAAUACAGUGAGUUGUGACAGUUUUGAGAUCAGUAUACUGAUUCAGAAAUUAUCUCCAUUGUGCACUGAAAAUAGCUGAGAGCAGCAACUCUAGUUAAAACUUUAAAAAAUGUGCAUUUCCACAUGCAUAAAGAAGUUACAUUUAUGAACACAACCAUAAGAACACUGCACAAGCUGAUACAAGCAACUUCUGAAAACAGGAGUGUCCGUCUUACUUGUGAUGCCACACUUUGCCGAGGACGAGGAGCGCCCGCUUUUCUGAGUCCCUGGAAGGUUCUGACCACCGGUGAACGUGGGGUCAGCUGACUGGCUCAGCUGGCUGGGUGAGGAGCCACGGGGCGGUGAGGACGACUGGUAGCUGCCAUUAGAUGAGUCGCUGUGGCAAGACUCUGGGCUGGAGGCGGAGCUGGAUGAGCUGAUGUAGGCUAUUACGCCUCCUGGUGUGAAAACAGCAGAGUGGAGAAGAAAUGGGCUGUUAUGACAGGGCCUGCAGCCACCAGUUAACACUGCAGAGCUCAGUGCUGGAAAAGAUCAGCUCCAGGGACGCUCCCUGCGUGGAACCAACCAGCUUAACAUAAAGAGGGCAGAUCAGAAUAUGACAACAGCUUCCCGGACCAGUAGGAGUCGAGCAGACAGGCUGCUGCUGCCGCUGAGCACCAUUUCAACUCCCUUCCUCCUCCGCCAUAGGCUGACCUGAUUUCUUCCUUUGCCAUUCUCAAUGAUUAGACCAUCUCCAGUGGAUUUAGAUCAUGUGACUGUGGAGGGCAAGUCAUCUGAGGCAGAAGUUCAUCGCUCUGGGUGAUCUCCACUGACAGACGGCUAGAUUGGAAUUCUUCUUAUGAAUGAUCCAACUCUGUGACGCUGAGGGGAUAGCCAUAAAAGCAGCUGUGUGAGUUUACAGAGCAGGUCAGAGGUUACUGCUACCCUGCAGACUAAUGUACAGAGGGACAAUGAAGAGGGAGUAAGGUGAGAGGUUUCCCAGAGACUAUGGGUUGAGGAGGAAUUGGAAGUUUGUCGGCUUAGACCUGGUGUCAUUCCAUCAGUGUUAAACUUCCCGGCUCAUCUUGGAAGAGUAUGUGCCAGAAAGACCACGACCAAGCAGCCUUGAGAUCUUAGACAGCGUCUCCCUAAGGUGGUUGUCAACGGUGUUCACGGUCAGGUCUGUGGUAAUCCUGUCAAAAAACAAAACAGAAAAAAAAUCUAGAUUAUAAAUCAACAUGUAGCCAAAGCACUCUGUGUAUAACGCCAUAGUAUAGGAUGUAGUUCAGAAAAUGUCAAAGUAUAGUAUGCUUUACUCAAGAAUAGCAUAGUAUGGCCUGUAGUUCAUAGUACAGCAUGUUGGCAAGAAAAAAAAAUGAAACAGAUUAUUAUGUGGUUCAAAAAGCGCAAAAUGAUAGGACGUUGCCUAAAAUUGUCAUGUAUGAUAUGUGGUUCAAAAAAUGUCAUAGUGCAGUAUAUUGUCAAAAUAGUAUGUAAUUCAAGAAAACAUCAGAGUAUAAUAUGUCAUCUAAAAAAUGCCAUAGAAUAAUAAUUUCAUUGCACAAGUAAAAGUGUAGUAACUUUUAAAACUGUUCGAAUUCUUAUAUGUUGCUAAAAAAAAACCCAAAAAACUAAAACAAAAAAAAGUCACAGUAAUAUGUCAAUUAGAAAAGCCUAUAGUAUAGCGUGUCGCCCAACAAACAUCAUAGUAUAGCAUGUCGCUCUAAAAACGUCAUAGUAUAGCCUUUAGUCCACAGCUGUCAGUAGGUGAGGAGCAACACAAAACCAGUCCAAACGCUGGUUUCCAGAGGGUUAGACGAGAAUUUAUUUGAAAGAGUAAGUUUACAACAACACAUGUGAGGGGGUUAAAAACAAAUGGGUGUUAGUAAAAUAAAAAUAAAUAAACAGAACUAAACGUGAACUUCAUGUUGACAUUGAUGGACAUUCCAACUAGGAACAAAGUAAAAGAUAAUCAAUACAAAAAAAACCUCUUCCUGUUCACCUCUUAAAACCCCAAAACACACCGCAGUAGCACCCUAAACUAAAACUACCAAUGAGUUCCCUGUUUUCCUUUCUGAACAAUUCAAAGGUCCCUCUCUAUCUCCCCACACAUCCACCAACCACUGGAACACAUCUCCAAAGUUCUGCCGGGCCAGCUCAGCUUCCCCUCAGAAGAAGUGGUGCCACCUGCCAGAUGAAGGAGCCUUUUGAGAGGCAGCUGGCAUCGUGAUUGGACUGUACUUUGGUCUGUUCCAGUCCAGCUUCAGCUCCAGAGACGGCAGGCGGGACGAGUCAACGGAGGCCGGAUGGACGAAGGCAUGAAGCUGAGUACAAUCCAGAAAACAACAGAGGAGGAGUGCAGCAGCCCAGAGCCAGAACAAACAGAGUAGCAUCGUAUGUCUCUUAGAAAACAUCAUAGUAUAGCCUUUGCUAUGAAAAAACGCCAUCAUAUACAUCGUAUAUUGUACAAAUAACAAGUCAAAGGAAAGAGACAUACAUUGUAGAAUUGUAGUAAUUGUGGGCUGACUGAUUUACUGAUUAUCAGUAUUUUAUUUUUUACUGAUUUACAGUAAUAAAUCCAUUUAAAAAUGG